GCCUGCCUUUUUUUCAGCAGCUGGGGAGCUAAUGGCAAUACAGGGCUUUGCUUAUUGGUUGAGAGCAAAAAUCUGAGGAGGCUUCAUUGGAGGUAGGGAACAGCACCUGGCAGAUUCUAGUUAGAGUCAGACUUUUUUUUUGACUUCUUACAAUGAGGGAAUGCUCUUGGCAUCAUAACCACAACAGCACUACACCCAACAGUUUAUUCUAG